AGUGAACGCUGGCGGUAGGCCUAACACAUGCAAGUCGAACGGCAGCACAGUAAGAGCUUGCUCUUACGGGUGGCGAGUGGCGGACGGGUGAGGAAUACAUCGGAAUCUACUUUUUCGUGGGGGAUAACGUAGGGAAACUUACGCUAAUACCGCAUACGACCUACGGGUGAAAGCAGGGGAUCUUCGGACCUUGCGCGAUUGAAUGAGCCGAUGUCGGAUUAGCUAGUUGGCGGGGUAAAGGCCCACCAAGGCGACGACCCGUAGCUGGUCUGAGAGGGUGAUCAGCCACACUGGAACUGAGACACGGUCCAGACUCCUACGGGAGGCAGCAGUGGGGAAUAUUGGACAAUGGGCGCAAGCCUGAUCCAGCCAUACCGCGUGGGUGAAGAAGGCCUUCGGGUUGUAAAGCCCUUUUGUUGGGAAAGAAAAGCAGCAGGUUAAUACCCCGCUGUUCUGACGGUACCCAAAGAAUAAGCACCGGCUAACUUCGUG
rnacentral:rRNA from 1 species